CCCUUAGAUGUUCUGGGCAGCACGCGCGCUACAAUGGUCUUCGCAAACGGAUGCAUUCUCGAAGGAGAAUGCCAAUCUUGGAAUCUAUGCCUUGGUCGGGACAGUUGCUUGCAAUUUUUCGACUCGAACCAGGAAUUCCUUGUAAUCGUGAUUCAUCACAUCACGAUGAAUACGUCCCUGCCCUUUGUACACACCGCCCGUCGCUCCUACCGAUCGAAGAGUUAGGUGAAUUGUUUUGAUCGAUAAGAUUUGACUAUGGUCAACUCUCGUUGGGAAAUUCUGUGAACCUGACUGUUUAGAGGAAGGAAAAGUCGUAACA
rnacentral:rRNA from 1 species